rnacentral:rRNA from 1 species
UACGUGGGGUGCAAGCGUUAAUCGGAAUUACUGGGCGUAAAGCGUGCGCAGGCGGUUAUGUAAGACAGAUGUGAAAUCCCCGGGCUCAACCUGGGAACUGCAUUUGUGACUGCAUAGCUAGAGUACGGUAGAGGGGGAUGGAAUUCCGCGUGUAGCAGUGAAAUGCGUAGAUAUGCGGAGGAACACCGAUGGCGAAGGCAAUCCCCUGGACCUGUACUGACGCUCAUGCACGAAAGCGUGGGGAGCAGACAGG